CCUCUAGCUAUAAGAGACAACUAACAGAGUUGGCAAGCCGUUCUUGUACAUCAGCAAACCUUAUUUUUACCACCAUCUCAUCCUCCUUAAUUAGCAAGCCUUAUUUUCCCUACUAUCACCAACAUAUCAUCCUCCGAUUGAGAUGCAGAUCUUGGCCUCUUCACUCAUCCAUGUGCUUCCUUACUUUAACGUCGACGCCGGCCGUUGCGGGACACGGGGGCUGAAGAGCUAGAGUAGCAAGUCACCGGGGUACGUGCUGUGGCUGGCCGGACGUCCGGCGAGGGAGGCAACCAGAGGGAUGCAUGUUCUCUCUGCCGGCACGCGCACGAAAGCAGCAACACCUAAUUUCGGAUUACCAUCGAGGGGGGCGACAAUCAAUUUGUAGCCCAUUUAUGAGAUCAAAGGAGAAUUCCCUCAAGAAGACACGCCUAAAACUGAAGAUUUCAUGCAAAGGACAAAGGAUAAAAAGCAGAGAAUUAACCAGUUGCAGAAUUUACUUGGUCACUGGACAAUGAUGGCUAAUUUUAUCAAUACUGAAAACAGACAGAAAUUUUACUGCCGCGGACAAUGAUUAUGGAGACAUACUCAAAGCAAACGAACCUAUGCAUGAAGAGCUCUUAACGAUAUAGGUGUGUUCACGCCCUCGCGAUGCAUCAAGGAUGCGGGCACUGGCUAACUGGCUGGCCGACCGUAGAGAAGAGGUCCAUGGUGCAUCUGAUGGCUGAGGAGGCCGCCCUGCGCUCACAUCAGAGGAACUAAAAAAAUAAGGUGCUCUUUCUUUAUCUAGAAAAUAAUUUUUCACUCUGAGUAUAUUAUAGUUGCCACGGCGAAAUUAUCCUGCAUUAUGUGACGGAGAGUAGGCUCCCAACUGAGGAGAUCAAGAGGCCAUGCGAGGAGAAAAGAGAAUCAAAACUAAUUGUGUAAGGUGAACAUUGGCCUUCUCGGAAUGAAUAUACUCCUCCCACUCAGUUAAAUUAAGUGGUAACAGAAAUUCGCUCUUUCAACCGACAACUCACGAACUAGCUCAGGUAAGCGAC